rnacentral:rRNA from 1 species
AUUGAACGCUGGCGGCAGGCCUAACACAUGCAAGUCGAGCGAGCGGCGGACGGGUGAGUAAUGUCUGGGGACUGCCCGAUGGAGGGGGAUAACUACUGGAAACGGUGGCUAAUACCGCAUACUAUCGGAUAACCCAUAUGGGAUUAGCUAGUAGGUGAGGUAAUGGCUCACCUAGGCGACGAUCCCUAGCUGGUCUGAGAGGAUGACCAGCCACACUGGAACUGAGACACGGCCCAGACUCCUACGGAGGCAGCAGUGGGGAAUAUUGCACAAUGGGCGCAAGCCUGAUGCAGCCAUGCCGCGUGUAUGAAGAAGGCCUUAGGGUUGUAAAGUACUUUCAGUGGGGAGGCGUUACCCGCAGAAGAAGCACCGGCUAACUCCGUGCCAGCAGCCGCGGUAAUUC